AUGACAGAACUCAGACAAUUUGAUAAAACUGGUUGAUCCCAAGAAUUGUCAAAAAAACACUGUAUUUUUGUGUUUGCGUCAAUUCACAAAGUGUCGAGUUGUUUGACGUUCAUGAUGCAAUCAUAGAGUUGUCAUCAUCGCUGAAAUCCAGGGGUUUAGAUACAAUUUCUCUCCUUAGUAGCGGACUAUCAACAUGUUCUGACAACGUGUUUUAACUAUUGCCAAAAAAGUGUGAAAAGGAGUAACGUCUCAAAUCACUUAGUUCUGAGGACACUGUAAUGGAAUUUAGGGUAGAGUAAAGAAAGAACCGAAACGAAAUAGUCAAAUUUUAAUUUGAUUGUAAAUACAUGUAUGUGUAAGUGUUUGAAUCCACGAAUAUCGUAUCGUUAACGUCGAGUAAUUGUUUGGAUCUAUAUUUGUCAUUAAAAACCGAGCGAUCCAUUAACCGUUGACUCCCGUCCGUUGGGUAUAAGACCCACGCUUAAUUCUAGAAUCUAAAGAAAAAUAUCUUUUUUGCGAUAGCAUGGGGAAUUAUAUAAAAA